AAAUUGAAGAGUUUGAUCAUGGCUCAGAUUGAACGCUGGCGGCAGGCCUAACACAUGCAAGUCGAACGGUAACAGGAAGCAGCUUGCUGCUUUGCUGACGAGUGGCGGACGGGGGAGUAAUGUCUGGGAAACUGCCUGAUGGAGGGGGAUAACUACUGGAAACGGUGGCUAAUACCGCAUAACGUCGCAAGACCAAAGAGGGGGACCUUCGGGCCUCUUGCCAUCAGAUGUGCCCAGAUGGGAUUAGCUAGUUGGUGAGGUAACGGCUCACCAAGGCGACGAUCCCUAGCUGGUCUGAGAGGAUGACCAGCCACACUGGAACUGAGACACGGUCCAGACUCCUACGGGAGGCAGCAGUGGGGAAUAUUGCACAAUGGGCGCAAGCCUGAUGCAGCCAUGCCGCGUGUAUGAAGAAGGCCUUCGGGUUGUAAAGUACUUUCAGCGGGGAGGAAGGUGUUGUGGUUAAUAACCGCAGCAAUUGACGUUACCCGCAGAAGAAGCACCGGCUAACUCCGUGCCAGCAGCCGCGGUAAUACGGAGGGUGCAAGCGUUAAUCGGAAUUACUGGGCGUAAAGCGCACGCAGGCGGUCUGUCAAGUCGGAUGUGAAAUCCCCGGGCUCAACCUGGGAACUGCAUUCGAAACUGGCAGGCUUGAGUCUUGUAGAGGGGGGUAGAAUUCCAGGUGUAGCGGUGAAAUGCGUAGAGAUCUGGAGGAAUACCGGUGGCGAAGGCGGCCCCCUGGACAAAGACUGACGCUCAGGUGCGAAAGCGUGGGGAGCAAACAGGAUUAGAUACCCUGGUAGUCCACGCCGUAAACGAUGUCUACUUGGAGGUUGUGCCCUUGAGGCGUGGCUUCCGGAGCUAACGCGUUAAGUAGACCGCCUGGGGAGUACGGCCGCAAGGUUAAAACUCAAAUGAAUUGACGGGGGCCCGCACAAGCGGUGGAGCAUGUGGUUUAAUUCGAUGCAACGCGAAGAACCUUACCUGGUCUUGACAUCCACAGAACUUUCCAGAGAUGGAUUGGUGCCUUCGGGAACUGUGAGACAGGUGCUGCAUGGCUGUCGUCAGCUCGUGUUGUGAAAUGUUGGGUUAAGUCCCGCAACGAGCGCAACCCUUAUCCUUUGUUGCCAGCGAUUAGGUCGGGAACUCAAAGGAGACUGCCAGUGAUAAACUGGAGGAAGGUGGGGAUGACGUCAAGUCAUCAUGGCCCUUACGACCAGGGCUACACACGUGCUACAAUGGCGCAUACAAAGAGAAGCGACCUCGCGAGAGCAAGCGGACCUCAUAAAGUGCGUCGUAGUCCGGAUUGGAGUCUGCAACUCGACUCCAUGAAGUCGGAAUCGCUAGUAAUCGUGGAUCAGAAUGCCACGGUGAAUACGUUCCCGGGCCUUGUACACACCGCCCGUCACACCAUGGGAGUGGGUUGCAAAAGAAGUAGGUAGCUUAACCUUCGGGAGGGCGCUUACCACUUUGUGAUUCAUGACUGGGGUGAAGUCGUAACAAGGUAACCGUAGGGGAACCUGCGGUUGGAUCACCUCCUUACCUUAAAGAA
rnacentral:rRNA from 1 species